CUGAGUCAUCACACCUGCCAGGGCCCUGAUCAUCAGAGAGACUGCCCGGGACCCUACAGAGGAAUUAGGCAGUCUACUGGCACAACUAUUAGUGCGGUCCAUCCAUAUUGCGAGAAGAGGCUCCAAGCCCCUACCCAGCAGAAAGGGAGCUCCAGCACACAUACCAGUGAUGCCGCACACAUCGGAGGCAAAGCGGGUCCGCGUUUGGCAGAAAGAAAUAAAAAUAAGGAGUAUUGAACAGAAAGAGAAGCAUUCCAGCUUUCCACAAAAGAACCAAUGAAGAAUUUAUGCUUGGAAAGAAGCAUGCUGAAAUGUCUCUUAUUUUAGUAAAAAAAAAAAACAACCAACAAAAUAAUGUGUAAUGCUACCAUGACUGUAAUAAGUGGAUAAUGGAAGAA